rnacentral:rRNA from 1 species
AUGAACGCUGGCGGCGUGCCUCAUACAUGCAAGUCGAGCGAACGGACGAGAAGCUUGCUUCUCUGAUGUUCGCGGCGGACGGGUGAGUAACACGUGGAUAACCUACCUAUAAGACUGGGAUAACUUCGGGAAACCGGAGCUAAUACCGGAUGAUAUUUUGAACCGCCUGGUUCAAAAGUGAAAGACGGUCUUGCUGUCACUUAUAGAUGGAUCCGCGCUGCAUUAGCUAGUUGGUAAGGUAACGGCUUACCAAGGCAACGAUGCAUAGCCGACCUGAGAGGGUGAUCGGCCACACUGGAACUGAGACACGGUCCAGACUCCUACGGGAGGCAGCAGUAGGGAAUCUUCCGCAAUGGGCGAAAGCCUGACGGAGCAACGCCGCGUGAGUGAUGAAGGUCUUCGGAUCGUAAAACUCUGUUAUUAGGGAAGAACAUAUGUGUAAGUAACUGUGCACAUCUUGACGGUACCUAAUCAGAAAGCCACGGCUAACUACGUG